AACGAACGCUGGCGGCAUGCCUAACACAUGCAAGUCGAACGAGACCUUCGGGUCUAGUGGCGCACGGGUGCGUAACGCGUGGGGACCUGCCCUUAGGUUCGGAAUAACUCCCCGAAAGGGGUGCUAAUACCGGAUAAUGUCUUCGGACCAAAGAUUUAUCGCCUUUGGAUGGGCCCGCGUUGGAUUAGCGAGUUGGUAGGGUAAAAGCCUACCAAGGCGACGAUCCAUAGCUGGUCUGAGAGGAUGAUCAGCCACACUGGGACUGAGACACGGCCCAGACUCCUACGGGAGGCAGCAGUGGGGAGUAUUGGACAAUGGGCGAAAGCCUGAUCCAGCAAUGCCGCGUGAGUGAUGAAGGCCUUAGGGUUGUAAAGCUCUUUUACCCGGGAUGAUAAUGACAGUACCGGGAGAAUAAGCUCCGGCUAACUCCGUG
rnacentral:rRNA from 1 species